rnacentral:rRNA from 1 species
AUGGAUCUCGAAGGGAAGAUCUGCAAGCUAGCUGCCCGUGCAGCGGCCACCUCGCCGGCGCUGGUGAGGAAGGCUGUGGGGGCACUGGAGCGCAGCAGCGCCGCGCGCGCGGCCGCCGAAGUCCUGAUCUAUCAGUUCCUGUCCGCUGUCUUCAUCUUCUCCGGCUUCUUGAACCUCGUCGCGGUCGAGGCCUGCGGCGGGAAAAACUGCACCGUCGCCUCCAUCCUGUUCGAGCUCUCGUACCAUUCUGGUAUGAUCGCCCUGCUUCUCUUGGCGCCGGCGUGCGUGCUCUUCUUCCUGCGCGCCGCGGGCAGCACCAGCGACAGCGAGGUCGAGGACGAGGAUCGCUCUGAGAUCUUCCCGUGGCCCCUGAUCUGGCCGGUGCUAGGGUUCAUCACCGUGGCGGCGUCGGCGGCACCCAUCGCCUUCGUUCUUCAGAUGUGUGGAUUUCGAGAGGCUUCUUACCAAGUCUGCGUCGCGGCUGUGUUGUGCUCGGCCCUACUCUCCGCCCUCUUCUACAUCGGUGCUGCGGUAGCGCUGUGGAGGAUGAAUCCUCAAGAGCGCAGCAUCGCCGGCAUGCUCAGGAUGAGUCUCAGGCCCAGCAACAAGGUGGCGGAGUAG